rnacentral:rRNA from 1 species
CGUGGGUAACCUACCCAUCAGAGGGGGAUAACACUUGGAAACAGGUGCUAAUACCGCAUAACAGUUUAUGCCGCAUGGCAUAAGAGUGAAAGGCGCUUUCGGGUGUCGCUGAUGGAUGGACCCGCGGUGCAUUAGCUAGUUGGUGGGGUAACGGCUCACCUAGGCGACGAUCCCUAGCUGGUCUGAGAGGAUGACCAGCCACACUGGAACUGAGACACGGUCCAG